GAGACAAGAUGUUUGAUAUGGUGCCCAGCCAUACAAUCCAUGCUCCCCCUCGAAAGAGAGGGGCUAUCGUCAGCCAAUCCACCUAUGGACCAUGCUUUGCGCACCACGAAACUAGUAAAUCAAACACCAAGAGGCGAUGCCAAUCAUCUAACUUUCAGUAUUAUACUUCAUACAAGCAAAUAAACAGGAUGGGCACACUUAAGUCGGGG
rnacentral:lncRNA from 1 species